UGCCUUGUAAAGCAUUUCCGGCUAGAGCAAAACAUCUACCAGGCCCUGCAAGUCACAUGAUGGGCAUUUGAAAACUGGCUCACAUUUUGGUUGCAGUGUCC